GAGUCCAUGUAUGUGUGGGCACAUGUCCCUGAUGACAACCUCUAAAGCAGAUGCUAGAAUGACCCCUGGGAACAUGUUGAGAAGCUAUGGAGGCCCUGCAAGGCACAAUGACUUCCUCAGGGCCACACACAUACCCACAAGAAGGGGAAGGGUCUCAACCAAGCUCUGUCUCCCCAAACCAAGGGAGCUGGCUACACCCGGGCCUGUCUGAGGGCCUGAUCCAGGGUGUGUUGGUGUAACUGGGUCCACCUGUGCCUAUGUCAUGGGAAGACUGCAGCCCAGUGGGCCAUUGGAACCAUCUUGUGUAAGAAAGGGACUCAGCAAAGGACUUCCUGAGAUAGUGACCUCACUUCCUUGGCCAUGGAACUCACAGAACUUGGAACCCUGGUAGCUAGGCACUCACAGUCCACAAACAGUCCCAGUCUGCUCACUGGUGUUGAGACAGCAAGCCCAGAGCCAUGAGUUCUUGUUGUCUACAGAUCUGUGGGUGCUUAAGCCUCAGGGCUUUUCCUGAGUGUGGAGGUGCUGGGUCAGCGCUGUGUCCCAACGACUCUGGCAAUUUUUCCCAAGGAGACCAGAAGUGAGACAGGACAGGGCACCACAGGUGUCCAUAGUUUAACCCACAUUCAGAUUCCCCUUUCAAAAGUGCCAGAUCUCACCAGGUUAGUGUGUGUGUGUGUGUGUGUGUGUGUGUGUGUGAUGUCUCCUGAGAAUAUGGAGGGAAAAUAUUUUGAUUUCCCCUGACGUUUGGCAGUGAUUCCUUUUGCAAAUGGCUACCGUUUUCCUGUUGAAAUGUCCCUCUUUGAUUGCCCAUCCUAGGGAGAAGAUGACCAAGGCUCAUCAGUGGAUGUGUCCUGUCUUGUGGAAACCCUCACAGUACUUCUCUGGGAGCUCGAGGAUGGCCUGGUGCCUGCCCUGCAGCAGGGUAACACCCCCUAUGUCCAUGGGGUUUUGUAUUGGUACCAAGAUUUGGCCAGUACCCAGAAGGCUCUGGAGCUGCUGGGUAAAAGGUACUUGGCCUAUCAUUUAGGAAUCAGUGCAGACAAACUCUCCCAGCCCUCCUGAGCUCCCGUUAUCGUCAGUAAGUUGGUCAAGUCCACCAGGCAUCUCGGCAGAUGAGGGACACAGGAUAUUAGAGGUCACAGCCUCCUGGUAUUCUCUAGGUAUGGACGCCUCCAGCCAUAUGUUGAGGAGGAGUACCUUCAAGACAAGAAAUCAUGACUCACCUUCUUCUCAUUCCCUAAGAAACAAUAUUGAAGUUAGACCAGUUAAUUACUCUGUAAUGGACUGAACAGUUGG